CGAGUGGCGAACGGGUGAGUAAUGUAUCGGAACGUGCCCAGUAGCGGGGGAUAACUACGCGAAAGCGUAGCUAAUACCGCAUACGCCCUACGGGGAAAGGGGGGGAUCGCAAGACCUCUCACUAUUGGAGCGGCCGAUAUCGGAUUAGCUAGUUGGUGAGGUAACGGCUCACCAAGGCGACGAUCCGUAGCUGGUUUGAGAGGACGACCAGCCACACUGGGACUGAGACACGGCCCAG
rnacentral:rRNA from 1 species